AUGACCAUAGGGUGUGGAAAAUAGGGCUUCCCGUCCGCUCAGCCGUACUCAAGCCACACGCCGGUGAGUUAGUAGUUGGGUGGGUGACCACCAGCGAAUCCUCACUGUUGUAUGUU
rnacentral:rRNA from 1 species